CUCAGACUUCAGUGAGUUCAAGACAACUGGGAACUCUGGGCUGGAAAAUCUCAGACUUCAGUGAGUUCAAGACAACUGGGAACUCUGGGAAUAACUAGCUCCGACUGGGAAAAUACGUUUUGAAAAGUCAUCCAACUCGGAAUUCCAAGUCGGGAACACUGUCCUCUUUCUAGAGCUCCGACCUGAAGAUCACUGACGUCAUCAUUCAACCUUGUUUUUUUCAAAGUUCCCAGUUGUCUUGAAAGCAUCAUAAAUCCAGAGAAUGCCAGACUUUGAUGACAAAGUUUGAUGACAAAAUUUGCCCACAAGAAGGACCGGCACGCCACCUUCCUGUUCAAGUGAGCACAGCACAACAAGCCCAUAGAGGUUAACACCCACUCACUUAACCUGGAAGCCAGAUGCACCAAUGUGUCAGAGGAAACACCGUUCAACUGACGACCGAGGUCAGCCUGCAGGUUCCCGGCCCGCCACAAGGAGUCGCUAGAGCGCGAUGAAUCAAGUGAAGCCCAUCUGGCCAAACCCUGCCAUAACCCGGACGACGCUUGGUCAAUUGUGCGCUGCCCUAUGGGACUCCUGGUCAUGGCCGGGAGGCCACGGAUUGCCUCUUAUACGCUCUUCGUUUCCUUAUGCCAUAGUUUGUACAUCUCACUUGUCAGUAGAAACCACAUUUCUUUAAGCAAGUCAGCCAUAUCAGCUAUGUUUUUUAAAAAGGCAGUAAAUGAGGCUGAAUUAACUGUUUUGCAACCAGACAAGGCUCCCCUGAUAACCAGGUGUAGCAGUGGUAAGGAUUCACUCCAUGGUGCUGAAAAGAAAGCUCUGCUGUUGGCACAGCUUUAUGCCUCUAACCCUAUUACAGGGGCUGAGUCACUGGCUUACUGGUGCUCUUCCAUGCCGUCCCUAGGAGGGGUGCGUCACUGAGUGGGUUGAGUCACUGACGUGAUCUUCCUGUCUGGGUUGACUCCCCCCUCGGGUUCGUGCCGUGGGGGAGAUCUUUGUGGGCUAUACUCGGCCUUGUCUUAGGACGGUAAGUUGGUGGUUGAAGGUAUCCCUCUAGUGGUGUGGGGGCUGUGCUUUGGCAAAGUGGGUGGGGUUAUAUCCUGCCUGGUUGGUCCUGUCUGGGGGUAUCAUCGGACGGGGCCACAGUGUCUCUCGACCCCUCCUGUCUCAGCCUCCAGUAAUUAUGCUGCAAUAGUUUGUGUCGGGGGGCUAGGAAUCAGUCUUAUAUCUGGAGUAUUUCUCCUGUCUUAUCCGGUGUCCUGUGUGAAUUUAAGUAUGCUCCCUCUAACUCUCUCUCUCUUUCGCUCUUCUCUCGGAGGACCUGAGCCCUAGGACAAUGCCUCAGGACUACCUGGCCUGAUGACUCCUUGCUGUCCCCAGUUCACCUGGUCGUGCUGCUGCUCCAGUUUCAACCGUUCUGCCUGUGGCUAUGGAACCCCUGUUCAAUGGACGUGCUACCUUUCCCCGGACCUGCUGUUUUCGACCUUCUCUCUCUCUACCGCACCUGCUGUCUCUAACUCUGAAUGCUUGGCUAUGAAAAGCCAACUGACAUCUACUCCUGAGGUGCUGACCUGUUGCACCCUCUACAACCACUGUGAUUAUUAUUAUUUGACCCUGCUGGUCAGCUAUGUACAUCUUGGCCAUGUGCUGUUAUAAUCUUCACUCAGUACACCCAGAAGAGGACUGGCCACCCCUCAUAGCCUGGUUCCUCUCUAGGUUUCUUCCUAGGUUCCUGCCUUUCUAGGGAGUUUUUCCUAGCCACCGUGCUUCUACACCUGCAUUGCUUGCUGUUUGGGGGUUUUAGGCUGGGUUUCUGUAUAGCACUUUGUGACAUCGGCUGAUGUAAAAAAGGGCUUUAUAAAUACAUUUGAUUGAUUUGAUAUUAUUAUUCAAUAACACAGACCCCAAAGGAAAUCAGGGGGAGAAAAAUAGGUUUAUUCAAAG
rnacentral:lncRNA from 1 species